UUUAUUUUAUUGUGGGCAAUACUGGAAAAAUGACUCAUUCCUCUGAUACGGAUCAGUAAAAUCACAGCCUAAAAGAGGCCACAGAGAGCUUAUCGUUCACGGCAGGUGGUGGCAGAGCUACGGGUAACUAUCUCUUACCAUGAGACCUGGUUAACAGUGUUGUGUGUGUGUGUGUGUGUGUGUGUGUGUGUGUGUGUGUCUACCAGAAACGUACCGCCAGCAAACAAUAAGAAACACUAUAAUUGGUUCAUUCUCCACAAACCCCAGAGUUAAAGUGUAUUACAGUUACAGUUAAAGUGUGUCCGAGUGGAGCACGGUACAAGCCCCCGAUUGUUCCUCACAGGCCGGCAUUCAGCCUUCGCUAACAGCUCGAGCGGUGACCGUGAACUCGGGCACAAAAGCACCUUUCUGAGCGGCGUGCACUCACGUUAGAGAGAAACCGGACGCUAGACGCUCAACUAAACUACUUCGUCCUCCUUGCUGCACCGCUGACGACAUUCCAGCCAGCCGGAUCAGCCCAACCGCACCGGGAACGUCGCGGGACGACAUCGUCAGGGCGGGCUCGUACGCAUCGGCACGACAGACAUUUUCACUAAGCUGACCACGAUUAGUUGGCAGGUCGACGUUUUUGGGGCUCGGGGUUUGGACACCUGCACUCCUGCUACUGCGUACGGGGCAUUUUUUGAGAAGCAUAAGUAGGGAUCAAGUGGACGGGUUACUGCACAUACACAGAGAGAUGUGUUCGUAUAUUAGAGGUGGACAAUAGGACAAAAACAUCAUGAUACUCCAAGAUCGCUCAGUGCGUACUGUGUGUUAGAUUAUAUUUACAUAUAUAUGACAGAUAGAUAGAUAGAUAAAUAGAGAGAGAGAGCAAUGGAUGGAGAGAGAUAGACAGAGAGCGCUAGAUGGAGAGAGAGAGAGAGAGAGCGACAAAUAGAGAGCUAUAGAGAGAGCGAUAGAUAGAUAGAGAUGGAUAGAGAUAGAGAUAGAUAGAUAGAGAGAGACAGAGAUAGAUAGAGAGAUAGAUAGGGUGAUAGAGCAAUAGAUAGAGAGAGAGAGAUAGAUAGAGAGAGCUGGGGAUAGAUAGAGAGAGAGAGAGAUAGAUAGAGAUAGAUAGAUAGGGUGAUAGAGCGAUAGAUAGAGAGAGAGAGAGAGAGAUAGAUAGAUAGAGAGAGCUGGGGAUAGAUAGAGAGAGAGAUAGAUAGAGAUAGAUAGAGAGAUAGGGUGAUGGAGCGAUAGAUAGAGAGAGAGAUAGAUAGAUAGAGAGAGAGUGAUAGAUAGAGAGAGAGCAAUAGAUAGAUAGAGCUGGAGAUAGAUAGAUAGAAAGACAGAUAGGGUGAGAGCGAUAGAUAGAUAGAGAGAGGGAUAGAUAUAGAGAGAGUGGUAGAGAGAGAGAGAGAGAUAGAUAGAUAGAUGGAGAUAGAUAGAGAGAUGGAUAGAGACAGAGAGAGAGAGAGCGAGACAGAGAUAGAAAGAGAGAGAUAGAAAGACAGAGGGUGAUAGAGCGAUAGAUAGAUAGAGAGCGAGAUAGAUAGAGAGAGAGCGAUAGAGAUAGAUAAAGAGAUAGAUAGAUGGAGAUAGAUAGAGAGAGAGAUAGAGAGAGAGACAGAUAGAAAGAGAGAGAUAGAUAGAAAGAUAGAGAGACAGAUAGAUAGAGAGAGAUGGAUAGAUAGAUAGAUAGAUAGAUAAUCACAGAAAGUGUAUUGUGCUAUAAUCCAUCAUGGUAUAGGUAAACAUCAUAUCGCCCAGCUCCAACACGUUCGCAUAGUGCGAGUUUCAUAACCGGAUCGUUUUUGCCCGCCUUCGCUCCACAGUAACCACGGUAACCGAGAGGUGCCUAAACUACGAAACUCAACCAAGGUCCGAAACCCCGCCCUCACCCUCGCCUUCAAUUUCCCCACACGGAAAUCAUCUGCUGUGUAAACCAAAUCCUCCCGAAUCCCUCACUCGUGCAAGCAGACCGGUAUUACCGUCUGGAUCUGCGCUGCGAGGUGUGUGACGCUGGGGCGUUUAUCCUCCUGCGAGUCCAGCGUGAAGUUCCCAGAUAAACAAACCCACAGAACCUUCACAGAGGCCAUAAAUUCCUCGACUCCCUCAGACCUCGGUCGGUCUUAACGGAACGGUGAACGGUGUCUGGCUCGAACUGUUGGGACGUUUCAGAGCUUACACACCGGAGUCAAACUGCUCGGCGCAUAUGGAAGCCAUUGUUUGUUUGGUUUUUUUUUUGUUUAGAGCAGGGCUUCCCUGAGGCCCGUGCCGAGCCCGAAGCCGCCCACUACAGCCAGACAGCAUGCGAGGCACGCGAGAGCGCCUCACGGAUCGGACAGCAUGAGCUCGGCGGAACAGGAUCUACACGCCUCUGGGACGUUACAGACUCUCCGGACAAUCUGGAAGUACGGCUGGGGAAUAUGACGUGAUAAAUUCUCAAUAUGCUAACGAGUUCAAACGUUAAAAUCCCGUAUCGAAUAGUAGAAACAUUAAAUUCUUUACAAUUUUCCUCCUUUUCAUUGUUCAAUCAUUUAUUUUUGGACUCCGUAAUCAAACCCUACCUGGAUGCUGUGUGGCCAAAAGUAUGUGGACACCUGGCCAUCACACCUGUGUGUCCUUGCUGAACAUCCCAUUCCAGAUUUAUUCCCAUUUGCUUGGAUAAGCAGCUCCACUCUUCUGGGAAGGCUUUCCACUAGAUUUUGGCACGUGGCUGUGGGGAUUUCUGAUCGUUCAGCUACGAGAGCAUUAGCGAGGUUGGGCGCUGAUGUCGGGACGUCGAGGACGCUCCAGUUCCUGUUCAUCCCAAAGGUGUUGAGCCAGUGGGGUUGAGGUGAGAACUCUCAAGUUCCUCCAGCCCAACCUUAACACUUAACUCACCAUGCCUUCAUUCUUGGAGCUGGCUUUGUGCACAGGAGCGUUGUCGUACUGGAACAGGUUUAUACCUCCGAGUUCCAGUUCCAAGGGAAACUCAGUUCCUAGUUCCAAGGGAAACUGUAAUGCUACGGCGUACAAAGACCUUCUAUACGAUCGUACGUCUCCAACUCUGUGGAAACAGUCUGGGAAAGAACCGCAUACUGAAUGGGAGUGGUGGUCAGGUGUCCACAAACUUUUAGCUAUGUAGUCUGCUAUAGAAGAAAUGUUUAGAUUCAACACAAUGGGGGAGGGGAAACCAGCGACAAGCUGGGGACACAUUACUGACGAAAUGUGAGGAGAUCAAAAUAAGAGAAAAUUAUGUCGUGAUUAAAAAAUCCGAAAUAAAUCAGAAUAAUUUCAUAUUUUAUCAUCUCCAAAGCCGACGCCCCUUCUGCCUAGAAUUUCCAGAAAUGUGUUCUCGGCGUUUUCUCGAGCGAUUUCUUGAGGAAUUUCCCCGGGAUGAUUUUUAAACAGUAUUAAAGGAGUUCACGCCGACACCGGACUCUUAUCUCCUGCUUUUCGGAAUAUUUCUCUCCGAGUCGUCCGUUUAAAUAAAGAUUUAUUUUGUAAAUAAGAUGUUAGUUUUCUAAUGAAAGAAACGAAUACGUCGACACGAUUAUAUUUUUGUCUACGGCGCCGAUUUCACACGUCUAAUCACACACCUUCAGAUCAAAAGCUUUUUAACAUCACGAGAAACAUUUCGGUCGGGUGUCCACAAACUUUUGACCGGUAAUGUGUGUGUAUAUAUAUAUAUAGAUAUUUUACACACACACACAAAGUUUAGACACACUCAUUCUUUAUUUAUAUUAUUCCCCCCACAUUUUAGACUAAUAAUAAAGCGCACACACACACACACACACACACACACACGACUGUGAAAACUUUUCGUUAACUCUUUUAGAUUGACUCUGCACUGAACAUUUGCAACAGUUGCACUGAACGUAAACUUGAAGACGCUGUUUAGGUUCAAAACCCCAACCUCCCAUCUGGUUCGGACAUCUGGGGUGUGGUUUUGAACAGAGAAGGUACACGGAACACGAACACACACACACACACACACACACACACACACACACACACACACACACACACACACACACAGACACAGACAGACAGACAGACAGACAGACAGAGAGAGACGAGCAGAACAGCAGGGGAGUGAAAAUAAGAAAUGGCACAUGUUCUGAAUUUCAUGUCUCGGGGUGAGGCUCCUCGGGCGGGGAGUUCCACGCCGAGAAUGCGGAGGAGAAGGCGAGAUUAUGACGGAAGGCUACAGGCGAACACCAUCUCCCAACACGACCGCUCCUCAACACUACAGCUGUCUGAAACUAUUUCACCGCACUCACACUUCUCAUUUUCAUCCUGUUUACAUCUUAAUGCAACGUGAGGAAAAACCCUCCAGCGUUCAGACCACACGCGCUGCUGAACGCUCCGUUCCGAUUGGUCAGAAGAUUCGGCUACAAAUCCCAGGUUUAAAUCCGUGCGCUCGGUCUAAUACCGCUCGUUAUCGUUUCUAUAGUAACAGCUCACUGGUUUUGACAGGUUUUCUGUAAGAUGUUCAUCUAGCAGUCUCCAGUGUCCGAGGUAGAACCGGAACUACGCUCUCCGAUGGAGGGUUCGACACGUUCUCGAUUUCUCAGUAGCAUGACGAGUCUUUUUAACUUCAGGAGAGAGAGAGAGAGAGAGAGAGAGAGAGAAAGAAGAAAAAGAGAAAAGAG
ensembl:lncRNA